rnacentral:rRNA from 1 species
AAUAGAUACCCAGGUAGUCCACGCCGUAAACGAUGGAUACUAGCUGUUGGUGGCAACAUCAGUGGCUAAGCGAAAGUGAUAAGUAUCCCACCUGGGGAGUACGAACGCAAGUUUGAAACUCAAAGGAAUUGACGGGGGCCCGCACAAGCGGUGGAGCAUGUGGUUUAAUUCGAUGAUACGCGAGGAACCUUACCAGGGCUUAAAUGUAGAUUGACAGGUUUGGAAACAGACUUUUCUUCGGACAAUUUACAAGGUGCUGCAUGGUUGUCGUCAGCUCGUGCCGUGAGGUGUCAGGUUAAGUCCUAUAACGGGCGCAACCCCCGUUGUUAGUUGCCAGCGAGUGAUGUCGGGAACUCUAGCAAGACUGCCGGUGCAAACCGUGAGGAAGGUGGGGAUGACGUCAAAUCAUCACGGCCCUUACGCCCUGGGCUACACACGUGCUACAAUGGCCGGUACAGAGAGCAGCCACCUCGCGAGGGGGAGCGAAUCUAUAAAGCCGGUCACAGUUCGGAUCGGAGUCUGCAACUCGACU